UGUGUGUGUGUGUGUGUGUGUGUGUGUGUGAUGGAAUAUUACACACCCAUAAAAAAGAUGAGAUGAUACCAUGUCAGACAACAUGGAUGGACCUAGAGGGUAUUAUAGUAAGUAAAAUAAGUCAGACUGA